UUUAAUAAAACAUUUUUUCUUUAAAUUUCACCGACUUGUCUGACGAACGAAAUAAGUUUCAAUAGAAAUGGUAUAGGGUUGCCUGCGAAAAUCCGGUCACAAAUAAGGGUUGCCAGGCUUUUUAAUGAAAUAAGAAGGGAAGACUU